UUUUUUUGUUUUAAAUUUCUUUACAUACUUUGACUAAUGUUUAAAAUGAAGCCGCAAAGUAAUCGUUUCCAAUUACUUCGCCAUCAAGUGCACAGUGUUAGAAGUGGAGGUCAGGCUCUACAAGUAGACGCCCUAUAAUUCACUAAUGAUCCUUCCGCAGGUUCACCUACGGAAA
rnacentral:misc_RNA from 1 species